GCCACACCGACCCCACCCUACUUCACAGACCGCGACCGAGUGGAAGGAGGGGAGCGCAAACUGCGCAGACGGUCGGGUGAAGGCGGAGCAAAGGUCCGGAAGAGCCAUCGCGGGAGCCCACCGGCGUUCAGCUGCCGUUGCGCCCGACUCGGCCCAGGCCCGGGGGGUCGCGGCCCCAGGCGUCUCCAUGGUGCUGGCAUCUGAGGCGGGUGUGAAGCAAGGCAGGGCGAGGCCGUUCGGCUGCCUUUGCUUUUGGAAUCACUCAACGAACGUAUUUCAAAGGGGACGAGCAUGCUGUGUCGACUUCACCUCUAUGGUUUUCCGAGGCUUUAGACUGGACAGCUGUCCUGCAAAAGACCAGCCAGAAGAAACUAGAAGAGUAGAGAAAAAUUUCUUCCUCCCCCACAGUUGGCAUAGCUGGGAGGAUGUACUUCCUCAGCUGGACUCUGCUCUCUCUGAGGCUGCUGCAACUGAGAGAUCCUGGGACAUCUGACAAGCACCGGCAGAAGAUGUGUGUGGAUCCUCUGGGGGCGUCCGUUGGAAGAAAGCCGCUUGAGGGUACUAGGCUGCCCAUCGGGGUCGGAGAGUUUUCACCUAUUUCCACAUCCUCCCGGAGGAAAGUCCAUCCGCCUUCCGAAGUAUAGUCGCGUGGGUGUCUCAGACGUCCUGAGAUGCUGUCUGGAUAUCCUUUGUCAAGCGAUAAGUGUCCAAAUAAUUGUAGACUCGAAGGGCGAGAGACAAAGAGGACUACUCACGGCGCCAUCUUGGCUCUCCUCGAUACAUAUUUAAUUAAAAUGAAAGUUAAGAUUUUAAAAAGCCCUUAUUCAAUUCACAAAUCACGUCAGUUGAAUUAGUGGUCAGAGCCUGCUGUGGUUGCAGCCACCGAGAACGUGGGUCCCACUGAGGAUCUCAGUUAUUUCUUUUGGCUAUCUUUGGGAGUGACUGUGGAUCUUGGGAAGGUAGUAACAUUUGAGGAUGCUCUUGAAUCCAUGGAGUUGUUUAAUACUGCCAGAAAUAUUUACUGUUUGUCCCUGCUGAAAACUGGCGAGAUUUUUAGAAGAAUUAUUUUAGUAGCUCUGUGGUCAAAAAUUGGCCCUGUUGGAAGCUGAUAUUCAGAGCCUGAUAGGAAUUUUUUAUAGGCCUUCUUACCUAAGUUAAAAUAAAACUAUGUACUUAGAGGGAAAGAAGCAAAUUAGGAAUAAUAGAGUUGGACAGGUAGACCAACCUCUGAUGUCAUUUAAGUUACAACCCAAUUUCUAUGGAAUUGAGAGCAACUGUUCUUAUUUUACAAGUCUUUGCAAAACUGGAAAUUCAUCUCUAGAGGCAGUUCAGAUUCCACCCAUUCCCUUUCAUCAAUCCCCAAAAUCCCCCCUAUUUAUCUCAAAAGACUUAUAACCUCUCAGGGCUAGACCAUCCCCAAUUCCUAAGACUGAAGGGAGAAAAAAAAAGGAAAAAAGAGUCAAACAGCUUUAGAAGCACCCUCGCCCAAAAUCCGGCAUCUUAAGUAUCUUCUCCACAAAAAUUAGUAGAAAAACGUUUUAGCCAUCUAAGCAGGUCAACUUAAUUUAUUCCAUCUGCCAGAAACAAAAUUUGGAUCCAACUGUUCUUUCAUAACAUGUGAGCUUUGUGUUACUGUACCUGACUCAUGGCAGUAAUUUUUAAAUAAUAGCUAUGAGGUCUCUAUGUAUGUGUCUGUAUAUGUGUAUGUUAUAAAUGUGUGAUAUUUUUCUACCUCCAGAUGAUAUUAUCAAAUCUAGUUUAUAGAGAGCUCUGUUUAAUUACCUUAAAAACAAACAAGCCCUAUAUAAAUUUAGUAUACUCUCAAAAAUAUAACUGAAAUGAACUCAAAUGAAUUUCAGGAUCAUGUGAUCUAGAAAAAUAUUCAGUAUUAAAGCUAAUUUAAGCUUGUUGGUUUAAUUAAAAUAGUUAUGUCUUCAGAGUUAUCAGCAUUCGAUGUAAUGCAGACAUGCAACUUUUAUUCUACUUGAGUUAUUAGUCAAAUAAGUUUAUGUUAUCUCUGCUUCAAAAUUUGUCAGCAAUAAUAAUAAUAAUAAUAACUUAAAAUGAUAGCUAACUGCCUUAACGUCUGAUAAAAUUUUCAUGAAUAAUCUAAGUAUG
ensembl:lncRNA